rnacentral:rRNA from 1 species
GCUCACCAAAGCCGCGUGAUAGCGGGUCCCUGCUCUAUGGGUGGGGAUGUGCGCUGCACUUGUCAAGUGCUGCACGUUUGGGGGGUGAAGGGUUUGCUUGUCAGUGCACUUUCUCAUGGUGUUCACCACGACCGGCGCUGCUGUCUGUCUGCUGUGGUCAAACCGGUUAGGCUUGAUCUUUUGGUCAGGUUUGAUCGGGAUGGCAGGUAGCUUUUCGGCUCCUGUUGGCUUCGGCUGGCUUGAGUCGUUGAGUGUUAUCAGCUGGCCAUAGUAGAUCAGUGCAGUGCGUCGGGGCUAGCGGCUUUGGUGUGUGCAUGUGUGCUAUGGCUUGCUAGCGUGGCCGGGUCUGGCUGGCAAUUUCCUGCUUUUGCGGGUUGUCGGUGUCUCGGUCUCGUUUGGUAGGCGGUGGCAUGUGUGACACUUGCUUGGGCCAAUAGUCCGUGGUGUGGUGGUAGACGAUCCACCCGACCCGUCUUGAAACACGGACCAAGGAGUUUAACAUGUGCGCGAGUCAAUGGGCGUUACGAAACCCAAAGGCGUAGUGAAAGUAAAGGUUCGGCUUGUCCGGACUGAGGUGAGAUCCUGUUGUUUCUUCUGUCUUGGGUUACCAAGCUUUUGAGCAGCAGGCGCAUCACCGGCCCGUCCCAUGACGUAGUCGUGUAUGUAGCAUAUGCGCACCGUCGGGGCGGAGCUAGAGCGCACACGUUGAGACCCGAAAGAUGGUGAACUAUGCUUGC